CCUACUGCCCAGGUUGUCGUUUCUAGUACACGGUAAUGAAUAACUAGUUGCUUUCAACAGGCUUCUCUUUCCAUAUAGUAUUUAUUACAUUUACAACUCAUUUCACAAACAAGACACAGAACUCAUUUUAACAGGACCGUGACAGCGAGACAUGAAUUUUUACAUCAUGCCAAAAAACAAAAACAAAUCAUUAAAGUCAUUUUGAAAUGUAUAUAAAUCCUUGUAUAGUUUAAACAUGACAUUUUCUGUUCUCUUUUUUUCUCUCCAUAUAUAAGCACAUAACUAUCUAUUUCAACCCAGGAUGUAAUUUGCAGUAGUAUCUGGACUGUUCAGGUCCAGUCAUCUCAUUUUACAAUAGGACAUCAUUCCUACACACUUAUUAUUUAUAAAGACAGGGACAUAAUCCACACACACACAUAUCAUUUUCAGAGAAUAACAGAACAUGUUUCGGGAGGGUGAAAAUUAUUCCAGUAAACUCUGCUCAUCCAUCUAUGGAUAUUGUACAUGACAGUAUCUGGGGGGUCCCAAAUGGAACCCUGGUCAAACUAAGUGCACUACUUAGUGAAUAGGGUUCCAUGGUCAAACUAAGUGUACUACUUAGUAAAUAGGGGUCCAUGGUCAAACUAAGUGUACUACUUAGUAAAUAGGGGUCCAUGGUCAAACUAAGUGCACUACUUAGUGAAUAGGGGUCCAUGGUCAAACUAAGUGUACUACUUAGUGAAUAGGGGUCCAUGGUCAAACUAAGUGUACUACUUAGUGAAUAGGGGUCCAUGGUCAAACUAAGUGCACUACUUAGUGAAUAGGGGUCCAUGGUCAAACUAAGUGCACUACUUAGUGAAUAGGGGUC
ensembl:lncRNA